ACCAAGGAGUCUAACAUGUGCGCGAGCCGCGGGGCAGUACGAAACCCGUAAGGCGAAAUGAAGGUGAACGCCGGCGCGGUCCGGCGGAGGUUGGAUCCCGUCCCGUCGGGGCGGGCGCACUACCGGCCGAUCUUCUCCGCCCUGUCGGCGAGGUCGAGCGAGAGCGUGCAAGUCGGGACCCGAAAGAUGGUGAACUAUGCCUGAGGAGGUUGAAGCCAGAGGAAACUCUGGUGGAGGACCGUAGCGAUUCUGACGUGCAAAUCGAUCGUCAAAUUUGGGUAUAGGGGCGAAAGACUAGUGGAACCGUCUAGUAGCUGGUACAUUCGAAGUUUCCCUCAGGAUAGCUGGCGCUCUGUAGCAGUUUUAUAUGGUAAAGAGAAUGAUUAGAGGUCUUGGGGGAGAAACGCCCUCAACCUAUUCUCAAACUUUAAAUUGGUAAGAAGCCCGACUCGCUCGUUUGGAGCCGGGCAUGGAAUGCGAGUGCCAAGUGGGCCACUCUUGGUAAGCAGGACUGGCGAUGCGGGAUGAACCGAACGCCGGGUUAAGGCGCCCGACGCGACGCUCAUCAGAGCCCAGGAAAGGUGUUGGUUGAUAUAGACAGCAGGACGGUGGCCAUGGAAGUCGGAAACCGCUAAGGAGUGUGUAACAACUCACCUGCCGAAUCAAUCAGCCCUGAAAAUGGAUGGCGCUGGAGCGUCGGGCCUAUACCCGGCCGUCGCGGCGGUACGAGCAUCGAGUUGGUGCGCUAGGCCGCGACGAGUAGGAGGGCCGCGGCGGCGGGCGUAAAAGCCUAGGGCGCGAGCCCGGGUGGAGCAGCCGUCGGUGCAGAUCUUGGUGGUAGUAGCAAAUAUUCAAAUGAGAACUUUGAAGGCCGAAGUGGAGAAGGGUUCCAUGUGAACAGCAGUUGAACAUGGGUCAGUCGACCCUAAGGGAUAGGCGAAGGCCGUUCUGAAGCGGGGUGAUGUUCGCGUCGCCCCGGCGGACCGAAAGGGAAUCGGGUUAAUAUUCCCGAACCUCGACGCGGAGAUUGGCGCUCCGGCGCCUAGUGCGGCAACGCAAACGAACUCGGAAACGCCGACGUGGGUCCCGGGAAGAGUUCUCUUUUCUUGGUAAGGGGCGGCGACCCUGGAAUCGGUUCGCCCGGAGAUAGGGACAUGGGCCCCGUAAAGCAGCACGUCUCUUGUGCUGUCCGGUGAGCUCGCGUCGGCCCUUGAAAAUCCGAGGGAGACG
rnacentral:ncRNA from 1 species